GGAAGAUUCUGAAACCGUGAAAGACAUGAGAAAGAAAGAUAUAGCUGUUGAAGGAAGUGGUAGUGGAGAGAAUACUACUUCAAGUCUGGGAGAGAAAAAGUCAUCAGAUUGGUCUUAUGGUGUUGGUAGCCAGAGACCAUUAAAGCGGUAAAGUAUAUCCUUCAAUGUUUUUUUUGGGAUCUCUUGGUAUGUUAUACUGUUCUAUUGGUCUCAAGGUGUUGGUAGCUAGAGGCCAUCCAUAGCGGUAAUUAUUAUGUAUGUCCUUUAAUGUUUUUCUUGGGAUCUCUUGAUAUGUUAUGCUUGGCUUCAAUUUCGAAGGAAUUGAAUAAUAUCUCUUUUUAGUUUCUUGUUUGUUAGUGUUACUCUUACUAAAGAUCUCCCUUUUUUUCUUUUUUUCUUUUUUUUUGGCGCUUUAACUUCUCUAUUCGACUUUCUAUCCAUUUUAUCAUGUUUCUCGAUUUCUUUAACAUCUUCAUUUGUCCUACUCUAUUGAUUAAAAGGUGA
rnacentral:lncRNA from 1 species